rnacentral:rRNA from 1 species
UACGUAGGUCCCGAGCGUUGUCCGGAUUUAUUGGGCGUAAAGCGAGCGCAGGUGGUUUAAUAAGUCUGAUGUAAAAGGCAGUGGCUCAACCAUUGUGUGCAUUGGAAACUGUUAGACUUGAGUGCAGUAGAGGAGAGUGGAAUUCCAUGUGUAGCGGUGAAAUGCGUAGAUAUAUGGAGGAACACCAUUGGCGAAGGCGGCUAUCUGGCUGGUAACUGACGCUGAGGUGCGAGAGCGUAGGGAGCAAACAGG